UACGUAGGGUGCGAGCGUUGUUCGGAAUGACUGGGCGUAAAGCGCACGUAGGCGGGUCUUUAAGUCGUAUGUGAAAGCCCUAGGCUUAACCUGGGAAUUGCAUUCGAAACUGGAGAUCUUGAAUACCUGAGAGGUUGAUGGAAUUCUUGGUGUAGGAGUGAAAUCCGUAGAUAUCCGGAGGAACACCAGUGGCGAAGGCGACACGCUGGGCCGUACCUGACACUGAUGCGCGACAGCAUGGGGAGCAAACAGG
rnacentral:rRNA from 1 species